AUGCAAGCACGGUCGAUUGAUAACCAGGGGACCUACAUUGCUAGAAUGGCUGCUAGGACGGUGCUAGAUGAGCUGAAUGUGCGGCGGGGCACGCCAUCGUUGGUGGCGCCGGCGCGGGCGACGCCACGGCAGAGCAUGGCGUUGUCGGACAUCGACAACCAGCCAGUCAUGUGGUUCUACAGCACCGUGAUCCACCUCUACCGAGGCGACCCGUCCAAGGGGCUCAUCGACCCGGCGUUGGCCGUGCGCGCUGCGCUGGCGGAGGCGCUGGUGCACUACUACCCGAUGGCCGGUCGGCUGCGCGAGGAGGCCGGCCGGAAGCUGGUUGUGGACUGCGCUGGGCAGGGCGUCAUGUUCGUGGAGGCCGACACGGACAUCGCCAUCGAUGAUCUCGGCGACGUGCGGUACCCGCCGUUCCCGCGCUCCGAGGAGUUCAUCUACGACGACCACGUCUACAAGGCGCCCCCGCCUGGCGUGCCGCUAGUGCUAGCUGCAAUCAUCAACCAGCCCCUGCUCUACGUCCAGGUGACACGGCUCAAGUGCGGAGGCUUCACCGUCUGCCACCAGAGCGCCCACUGCAUCAGCGACGCCGCCGGCUUGGCGCAGUUCUGGAAGGCAGUCGGCGAGCUCGCCCGCGGCGCCAGCGCGCCGUCCAUGCCGCCCGUAUGGACCAGGGAGAUUUUCAACGCGCGGCAGCCGCCACUCCCUAGCUUCCCUCACGACGAGUACCGGGAGCCUACGGACGUUUGCGACGGCGACCGGAUCGCAUCCACGCCACAGCGCGACAUGGCGCGCGUCCAGUUCUCCUUCGGGCCGGGGGCCAUCGCCGCGCUGCGCAGCCGGGCCGCGCCGGGAGCGGCAUCGGCGUCUCAGUUCGACCUGGUGGCCGCCUGCGUGUGGCGGAGCCGCACUGCGGCGCUCGGCUACGCGUCCGGGGACGAGGUGCAGCUGAUGAUGGCGGUGAACGCGCGCGGCCGGCGCAUGGACGUGUUCGGCCGCGAGAUCCCCGCCGGAUACUAUGGCAACGCGUUCGCCUUCACUGUGGCGCGCUGCGCUGCCGGGGAGCUGUGCGGCCGCGACCUUGGCUACGCGGUGGGGCUCAUCAGGGCGGCCAAGGCGAGGGUGACGUACGAGUACAUGCGGUCGGUGGCGGACUUGAUGGUGCUGGAGGGCCAUCCUGUGAUCGCGAGGAAGCGCACGUUCGGCGUGUCGGACCUCAGCCAUGCCGGGUUCGACGAGGCCGAGUUCGGGUGGGGAAAGCCCGUCUAUUCAGGCGUCACCACGGACGCCCACCGCGGCGCCACCUUCUUCAUCCGAGGCAAGAACGAAAAGGGCGAGGGCGAGACGUUCGUCGGCAUCUACCUCCCAGCAGACUGCACGGGAAGGUACCGGAAGGAGGUUUUGGCCCUCACCACCAAGCUAGAGCCGCUUAUGGAGAAAGCAUCGUCAGCUCCACUUGCCCCGCGAGCCCGCUAUUAA
rnacentral:rRNA from 1 species